UCAAAUUUGCAAAGUCCCCUUCGUUCUCACUCGUACUCUGUCUCGCACCUUCCCUUCUCCCAGCAGGUUUAUCUCUCGUUCAUUUGUUUUCUCCAUUCUCUCUCGUUCGCCUUCAUCAUGUUCCUCUGUGUUUCCUUUGCUCUUGUGUCACCGUUGUCGUUCGUUGUAGCUAGCCAUUCACCACCAUUCUCAUUCGUGGUCGUUGGCCAUUCAUCGUUGUUGUUCAUCGCCAGUUCGUCAACUCCCAAAAGCUAUUUAAUUGAAGAAAAGAACUAUAUGGAUCGUGAUGGUUACAAAAACGAUUAUUUUUCUGCAAUAAGCUGAACCAAAGCUUCACGAGCUGAUCAUGAAGGCAUUUUAACACUAAGCAUUUUCAGUCUUUCUGGAACAGGCAUUUAUUGCAAUGUGGCUUCCACGUGACUGCAAUCCGACCACCUACUGUGCCUCCUAACUCAUGCAGUCUCAUAAACAAAAAGGAAACUAUGAGUGUGGAUACUAUGUAAUGAAGACAAUGCAUACUAUUAUCGAUUCACAAAUAGUAUCUAGGUGGAUUGAAAUAUUUAUAGAUCGAUCACCAUUACCGCUAGAAGACAUAAACACCAUUAGGGAGCAAUUAAUGGGCCACAUUUUUUAUCAACCAUUACAUUAACUAGUUUGCGAUUAUGUUUUUAUAGUAUUGCUUUAACUAGUUAGGACUUACAUUUCAUUGAACAAUGUCGUCCAUUUAUGUAUUACAUGUAUAUAUAUAUGGCUAAACUAUUUGAUUAUAU